CCUGAAUUAUUAAUAAAUAUAUUUUUUAAACUUGAAGAAUUUGGCGGUGGUUUAGUCUUGUUAGAGGAACCUGUUUUUGAAUCGAUAAUCCGCGCAGAAUUUUACUUAUCUUAUAAGUUUGUAUACCGUCAUUAUCAGAUAAUUUUUAUAGAAAUAAUUAUUGAAGUUUAGCAGCAGACAGUAAAGAAAAUUAGAUCAAGGUGCAGCUAAUUAGGUAAGUUAAAAUGGGUUACAAUAAGAUUUAUUUAUAUGGAGUAAUUGUAUGAAAGCUGAUAUUAUGAAGGUGGAUUUAAUUGUAAUAUAAAUUUAAUAUGUUUAUAAGAUAUAAGCUCUAAACCAU
rnacentral:rRNA from 1 species